UACGUAGGUGGCAAGCGUUGUCCGGAUUUAUUGGGUUUAAAGGGUGCGUAGGCGGUCCUAUAAGUCAGUUGUGAAAUACGGCAGCUUAACUGUCGAGGUGCAAUUGAUACUGCAGGACUUGAGUACAGACGAGGUAGGCGGAAUUGACGGUGUAGCGGUGAAAUGCUUAGAUAUCGUCAAGAACACCGAUAGCGAAGGCAGCUUACUAGACUGUAACUGACGCUGAGGCACGAAAACGUGGGGAGCGAACAGG
rnacentral:rRNA from 1 species